ACAGAGAUAGAGGAAGAGAGAGAGAUAGAGGAAGGAAAUGUUAGAUUAACGCAGCCUCGGCUUCUUGACUGACCACACAGACAGACAGUGAGUUUGAAGUGACAGAGUCAGUUCAUCUACAGCUGAAACAUUUUCUCCAUCAGGAUCAAAUUCAGAAUGAAUCUCCACCAUGUUCUGUUCUUCUGCUUCUUCUCAGCACUGUGUGGUGGAAACUCUGGGAUCAACAUCUAUACAGGACCUGAAGGAGGAAGUGGAACAAUUAAUUGCUACUUGACUCUGCCUGGAAACAGGAAGUUCUUCUGUAAGAAUGAAUGUAAAGGAGAAGAUGUUCUGAUUCAAACAGAUGAUGUCAGAGCCAACAGAGGCAGGUACAGCAUUGAAUAUAAAGGUGAAUCUUCUGGAAGAGGAAUUGUGUCUGUGACCAUCAGAAAUCUGACCCAGUCUGACUCAGGACGGUACAGGUGUGGUCUGGGUGGAUCUUUGGUUCCAGAGUCAUACACUGACUUUGGGGUCAGAGUUUCAGAUGAGCUGCUGGAUAAAAACUCUGGUUUUCUCAGAACAGACACAGAAGGAGAAAAUGUCACAUAUCCAUGCAUCGAUGCUGUGAACAGAGACAGAAUCUUCUUCUGUAAGGGAGAAUGUAAAAAAGAAGAGGACAUUUUCAUUGAAACAAAUGGGAACAGAGCUCAGAGUGGCAGAUACAGCAUUGAAUAUAAAGAAGGAUCUACAUUUGGACUGUAUGUCACAAUCACACAGGUGCUCAAGUCAGACUCAGGACAGUACAGGUGUGGUUAUGGUAGAGCUUUGUCUCCUGAUUCAUCACGCACGUUCUCAGUCAUUGUUGUAGACGAAGCCCAACCACUUCCAAACCAAACAGGACCUUCUUCAGCAUCAGUCCCAGCAGCUUCCACAUCAGGAACAACACUGCUGUCUACACCAGCUUCCCCUGAAAACAACAAGACAUCCACAGGACCUUCUUCAGCAUCAGUCCCAGCAGCUUCCACAUCAGGAAAAACACUGCCGUCUACACCAGCUUCCCCUGAAAACACCAAGACAUCCACAGCCAAACCACUUCCAAACCAAACAGGACCAUCUUCAACAUCAGUCCCAGCAGCUUCCACAUCAGGAACGACACAGCUGCCUCCACCAGCUUCCCCUGAAAACAACAAGACAUCCACAGGACCUUCUUCAGCAGGUUCCACCUCAAGAAAAAUGCAGCUGCCUCCACCAGCUUCCCCUGAAAACAACAAGACAUCCACAGCCCUCAGCUCUGUCCCUCGCCCAGGUUAUUUCCUGCCUCUGGUUGUGUGUGUGCCUGUGGGUUUUGUGCUGACGGCUGUUUCACUGCUGGUUUUCUACCUGUGUAAGACGAGGAGGAAGUAUGUUUUGAAACCUGAGGGAAAGACAAACAACAUAAACAUAGAGUUACCUGUCACCUAUGAGAACCCCGGUCCAGUCUCCGAGUGUGAGCACUCUGUCUGCCAGAGGAUCUGAACCUGGAUUUUGUAUUGUGCAGUUUAUAGUAUAAACCUGGUAGCUUUCAUAAUCUCUCACAGAACUGAUUAUGUUUGUGAAGGUGUUCGACAUCUUCUCACCUGAUUAUUCUGAAAUAACAUUAUAGCAGUUUCUAGAUGUUUCUGUUCUGAAACACAAAGAAAUGAAUAUAGUUCAGCUGUAACAAGCUGCUUAAGGCAGCUGCACUUUGUAAUGAAAAGUUUAAGUCAUUUCAUUUGUCAGUUUUUGUGCCAGUGCCAACUUUGAUAAAUAUUUUAUGUUAUCAAAUAUGUUAUAGUUUCUUUGAAUUAGUGAAACAGCGCCCCUGUUGAUUGUAAUGGCUCAUAGGUGUCAUUCAAUCAGUGUGGUGAGAAAUGGUACUGCAAGUGUAAUGGAAAUUUAAAGAACGUAUGUAUUCUUCAGACUGACUGUGAACUUUGUGCUGUGUCAGGCUGAAAUGAUGAAGUCUUUGAAGUGGUUUCCCCCUGGACAGAGUCGAUCGAGCUUUGAAAGAAUUUUUCAACAAUUUAACUUCAGUCAAGAAUCCUGUUGACUGUGAUCUGUGAUUACCUGCAGUUUGUAGUAGUUAGCCUGCUAGCUGUCUAAAUCCAUGAUCCUUGUUGUUCAUCCAGAGUGAUCAGCUUUAAUAAACAACUUUAUAUGAAACUCUGUAGCUUUUUUUUGUCUCCUGUUACUGUCAUGAACAAUGUGACAGACCAGGUGAAAUGUUCCAGAGGGAACAUUAACAUUGAGUUUAAAUAUAUUCUUACUGUCCAACAUGUUGAAAGAAGCGCUGGUGGCAUGUUCUUAGAUUUUAAGGAUUAAAGACUGUGUAUGGGUGCAUGCAAGAUUUAAAGCUCAUACAGUGUCAGGUGACAUAUGCAUGUUGCGUACACAUACACUGAUCUGCAACAACAUCAUCCUGUUCUGAUCAUGUUUAACCACAGAAAACAGAAGUAGAGAAAGAGUAGAGAGAAAUAUACAGCACAUGAAGUCCACUUCUGAAAAACUGGCCCACGUCUGAUGAGACGUUUACCACUGACCACCUAUAAAUACAGAGAGAAGAUGAAGAUUAAUGAGAUAAUGAGAGCAACUGACAGAAAUACAGAGUGAAUGUACUCACAGAGGAGGAAGCAGCCGAUCAAAGUGUGAAAGAUUUUCAUGUUGAGGCUCUGAGGGUUUAAUGAACCUCUCUGUCAAAUCAGGAACUUCUUUACUUCCUGCUCCAAAGACAACACACAGCUCUACUCUCCUCCCUUCUCCAUCUGUCUUUAUUUCUGCACAUUAAUGUAACACUCCACACAGCUAUAACUUGAAGGAGUUGUUCAGUUUCACCUAUCGUCAUUUAUCUUAUUGCAGAUAUACAGUGAGCAGCUCUUGAAAAGCUUUGAGGUGUUUGAGCUCAUCAUCUUGCUGCAGUAUGAAUCCUUCUCCAUAAAGGUGCAAACUGAGAGGGUGCAGCACAUCUCUGAAGAAUGGACUCUGUGCUCAGUUCAGUGCAGGUUUCCAGGAAGCCUUUCUUCCCCUACUGAGAGGUGGUUUAGAAACAGCUGUCAUCGUCUGAGACCUCUAUAAGACAACCUAUCUCAACACUGCCUGACAAAAAACAACCAGCUGGAAACGCGAGGCACAGCCUCAUUUAUAACAGGAGAAGACUGGUUGAACAAGAACAAGUCUAGGACGAAUAGAUUAAAGCCACACGAAUGUCAUGCUUCAGUGGAGGGACACUCAAGGAAAUCUGACCUUAUGUUCAAAGGAGUUAAUUUGGUCACUUCCCCAAAUGUACUUAAAUGUGACUGCUGACUUAGACCAUGGACAGUCUUAAAUAUUUAGCCUGUCUAAAGGUGCAUCCACUCUCUGUUUGCAAGUCUGCAGCUGUUCACAGUAUCAGCAUCCACACUGGAGAAUGAUCAGAGCUUAAAGUGGCCACUGAGUGUGUAUAAUCCAGCAUUAAUCUUAGAUGAAACUGUUCACAGCCCUGUUAUUUUAAAAAUGCAAACGUGCAAAAGUGCAACAUACAUUUAAAAUGAAUAAGAGACGUUGAGAAGUAGAUGAAUAAUGUUUUAGUGUGGAACAGAACGAGUCGACCACAUUCAGUUUGCAGUAACUCUGCUGGAGGAUACACUGCUUUUAAUACUUUUCUUCUGUACUGUAAAAACAGAGAAGUUUGCAGCCACAGCAGUCGUAUAUGAAAUGUCAGCGUCAGAAACAGAGCAAAGAGGAACAAACCCGCUUUCUUGGCUUCUCAUACUCAUCUGUUUUUGUUGUUUUUAACUGGAUAAAGCUGCUGACGUUCUCUGAACUUUCUCUGUUCAUUUAAUAUUUUUUGAUUUCUGAUUAAUUUAAAUCCUCUGUCACAUUAGUUUACAUGUUCUACUGCACAUAUACAGAGAAAAAAGGACAGAGAGAGAGGGGAAGGAAAUGUUAAAUGAAUGCAGCCUCAACUUCUUGAUUGACCAGCUUUACGAUGAAACCCCCUCUGUAUCAUUAUCAUACUGUGGGUGCAGCUAAAAGCUGUGAGAACACAGACAGAGAUAGAGGAAGAGAGAGAGAUAAAGGAAGGAAAUGUUAGAUUAACGCAGCCUCGGCUUCUUGACUGACCACACAGACAGACAGUGAGUUUGAAGUGACAGAGUCAGUUCAUCUACAGCUGAAACAUUUUCUCCAUCAGGAUCAAAUUCAGAAUGAAUCUCCACCAUGUUCUGUUCUUCUGCUUCUUCUCAGCACUGUGUGGUGGAAACUCUGGGCUCGUCGAAGCAGAAAUAAUCACUGCCACAGGAACUGAAGGAAAAAGUGUUACAGUCAGAUGCUACUUUUCUCUCUCUGGAAGCUCAAAGCUAUUCUGUAAAGGAGAAUGUACAAAAGAAAACAUUCUAAUCAAAACCACUGCUGACAGAGAUUACAAAGGCAGAUACAGCAUCGAAUAUGAAGGAAAAUUUCUAUCAUCUGGAUCUCUGUAUGUGACCAUCAGACAGCUGAGGAAGUCUGAUUCAGGACGGUACAAGUGCGGAUUGAUGAACGCUUUUACAGAGUUAUAUCAGGAUGUUGAUCUCACAGUUCUCCCGUCUCAAGAUGCUGCGACCACCAGCUCUACCAGCUCCACCCCCUCUGUAACGGUCCCUGACGCCACCCCUCAGGUUGCAGGUUACGUCUGGUUACCUCUGGGUGUAUGUGUGCCUGUGGUUGUUUUGCUCUUGGUGGUUGUUGUGCUGCUCAUCUACAAAGUGAGGAAAAAGAGGAACUUUGAUGGUUUGAACACAAGAGGAAACUUGGACGAAAGAAACAUGAAGACGGUGACUACGUACAUAAAGAAUGACUACAGGGCCUGUAGAAGAUGGAGGACUUCUCUGUCGACCCUUGUGCUUUAAAAAGUGUCACUGCUUUAUUUUCAGACUUCCCCCUAUGAGAACUGUCCUCCAGGCUUCAAAUGUGAGGACCACACCUACCAGAGCCUCAGUCCAGCCAGCAGGGAUCAGGACCAGAUCUACUCCAUAAUCACACACACACAACACACAUGAAACUGUUUGGAAAAGGCUGAGAAAAUGUGUUUUAUGGUAAAUGGGAACAUAAAGUGUAUUUGCUGUAUACUAAAAAUAUCAAAGAUGAAUAAUGCAUAUUUUGAUCAGAUCCAGUUUUUGAUACUAUUUAUGUUCUGUAUUUUUUUUCUGCAAAAGCUAAUGUAUUUACAUUCAGUCAUUAUUAUUGUAUUAUUGCUGUAUGGCACCAAUGCACCAAGACAAAUUCCUCAUCUGAUUACCUCUCUGGGUUGUAGCAGUGUUAGUGGAGUCCGCCAUUCCUGUGCUGGGUUCAAAAUGCCUUAGGGAUUCACAAGAAAUAAGGAAUUAUGAUGAAGAGUAGUUUUGUCUCAUCAAUAUCAGCCUCACUGUUUACUGUCAUACAGCUGUAUGAGAGUUAGUGCUAAUGCCACCGCAGCAUGUCCAAAAAGAAAACACAAUGUAUUUGUCACUAAGGUUAGUGCUGACAGUGAUUGUUGACGUGGUGAUAUCUGUCAUUUGCUUCACUUUGCUCUGUUGUGCAAUAUGAGAUAAAAAUCAUUUCUUUAUUAAAACUGUAUGAGUGUGUUUGGCUGCUGUGUGAACACACACACUGUUUGUUAAAGUUAAACUGCUUAAAAUAUGUCCACAACAUGUAUACAAGUUCAACAAAGUCACAACAAACUAUCAGACAAUAAACAACAUCUCUUAUGAUAA